UACGGAGGGUGCAAGCGUUGUUCGGAAUUAUUGGGCGUAAAGGGGAGGUAGGUGGUCUCGUUAGUCAGCGGUGAAAUCCCGAAGCUUAACUUCGGAAGUGCCUCUGAAACGGCGAGACUAGAGUACUAGAGAGGGUCGCGGAAUUUCCGGUGUAGCGGUGAAAUGCGUAGAGAUCGGAAGGAACACCAGAGGCGAAGGCGGCGACCUGGAUAGGCACUGACACUCAGCUCCGAAAGCGUGGGGAUCAAACAGG
rnacentral:rRNA from 1 species